AAAUUGAAGAGUUUGAUCAUGGCUCAGAUUGAACGCUGGCGGCAGGCCUAACACAUGCAAGUCGAGCGGUAGCACAGAGAGCUUGCUCUCGGGUGACGAGCGGCGGACGGGUGAGUAAUGUCUGGGAAACUGCCUGAUGGAGGGGGAUAACUACUGGAAACGGUAGCUAAUACCGCAUAACGUCGCAAGACCAAAGUGGGGGACCU
rnacentral:rRNA from 1 species